AUUGCCAAGGAAAAACGCAGUCAACGGAGACUCGGCAGAGGAACGCCAAAACAAGAACAGAAGGACACAAGAGUACGCUGGAAUGUCGAUGUCGUUUACUUUGAAGCAACCGUCUUAGCGAAGACAAUGGCCAUCGCCACCGCAGUGAUCCCUUUGAAGCUCAUCACCAGUCGCAGGCUUCAGCCUAAAAAUCAUACUCCGAUUCUUGCCCAAAAUCGGCCCUUCAAGGUCUCAUGCUGUGUUCUUCACAAUCCAAGCUCUCUCCAUACUCAUUUUCAGAAACUCGUCGAUGAAUUUGACCCUCGUAUUCCGAUAGAGAAAGCCCUGACUCCACCCAGAUCCUGGUACAGCGACCCUUCAUUUUACGAUUAUGAGCUCCGUCGUGUCUUCUAUGGAGGAUGGCAGGCUGUUGGAUUCACUGAACAGAUAACGGAUUCUCGUGACUUUUUCACAGGAAGGUACAUUUAUAUCGGUAGAAAAUUUGGUUCUUUUUAUUUUUUGUUGUUCUUGCUUUCUUUCAGUAUGCUGUCAUUUAAAUGUUGCUAAUCAUGUGGGCUCCAUUAGGUUCUUAGAAGAAGAAAGGGAAAUGCUUGAAUAUGACUUCCAUUUGUCUGCAUUUCAACCAAUCUUUUUCCCCGUUUUCUGAGAACCUAAUGGAGGAUUAACUCUGGCAGAUUCGGAAAUGUAGAAUUUGUUGUGUGUCGAGAUGAUAAUGGCAAGGUUCAUGCGUUUCACA
rnacentral:misc_RNA from 1 species